AAUGGGGGGGGCUACACAUGCAAGUCGAGCGGAAACGAUCCUAGCUUGCUAGGAGGCGUCGAGCGGCGGACGGGUGAGUAAUGCAUAGGAAUCUGCCCGGUAGUGGGGGAUAACUUGAGGAAACUCAAGCUAAUACCGCAUACGCCCCAAGGGGGAAAGCAGGGGAUCUUCGGACCUUGCGCUAUCGGAUGAGCCUAUGUCGGAUUAGCUAGUUGGUGAGGUAAUGGCUCACCAAGGCCGCGAUCCGUAGCUGGUCUGAGAGGAUGAUCAGCCACAUCGGGACUGAGACACGGCCCGAACUCCUACGGGAGGCAGCAGUGGGGAAUAUUGGACAAUGGGCGAAAGCCUGAUCCAGCCAUGCCGCGUGUGUGAAGAAGGCCCUCGGGUUGUAAAGCACUUUCAGCGAGGAAGAACGCCUGUGGGUUAAUACCCCGCAGGAAGGACAUCACUCGCAGAAGAAGCACCGGCUAACUCCGUGCCAGCAGCCGCGGUAAUACGGAGGGUGCAAGCGUUAAUCGGAAUUACUGGGCGUAAAGCGCGCGUAGGCGGCUUGAUAAGCCGGUUGUGAAAGCCCCGGGCUCAACCUGGGAACGGCAUCCGGAACUGUCAGGCUAGAGUGCAGGAGAGGAAGGUAGAAUUCCCGGUGUAGCGGUGAAAUGCGUAGAGAUCGGGAGGAAUACCAGUGGCGAAGGCGGCCUUCUGGACUGACACUGACGCUGAGGUGCGAAAGCGUGGGUAGCAAACAGGAUUAGAUACCCUGGUAGUCCACGCCGUAAACGAUGUCGACUAGCCGUUGGGGUCCUCGAGACCUUUGUGGCGCAGUUAACGCGAUAAGUCGACCGCCUGGGGAGUACGGCCGCAAGGUUAAAACUCAAAUGAAUUGACGGGGGCCCGCACAAGCGGUGGAGCAUGUGGUUUAAUUCGAUGCAACGCGAAGAACCUUACCUACUCUUGACAUCGAGCGAACUUUCCAGAGAUGGAUUGGUGCCUUCGGGAACGCUCAGACAGGUGCUGCAUGGCCGUCGUCAGCUCGUGUUGUGAAAUGUUGGGUUAAGUCCCGUAACGAGCGCAACCCUUGUCCCUAUUUGCCAGCGAUUCGGUCGGGAACUCUAGGGAGACU
rnacentral:rRNA from 1 species